rnacentral:misc_RNA from 1 species
UGAUGACUUGGGAAUAAAUAUCGGACA